rnacentral:rRNA from 1 species
GACGAACGCUGGCGGCGUGCUUAACACAUGCAAGUCGAACGGAAAGGCCCUGCUUUUGUGGGGUGCUCGAGUGGCGAACGGGUGAGUAACACGUGAGUAACCUGCCCUUGACUUUGGGAUAACUUCAGGAAACUGGGGCUAAUACCGGAUAGGAGCUCCUGCUGCAUGGUGGGGGUUGGAAAGUUUCGGCGGUUGGGGAUGGGCUCGCGGCUUAUCAGCUUGUUGGUGGGGUAGUGGAUUUCCAAGGCUUUGACGGGUAGCCGGCCUGAGAGGGUGACCGGCCACAUUGGGACUACGAUACGGCCCAGACUCCUACGUGAGGCAGCAGUGGGGAAUAUUGCGCAGUGAGCGGAAGCCUGAUGCAGCAACGCCGCGUGCGGGAUGACGGCCUUCGGGUUAUAAACCGCUUUCGCCUGUGACGAAGCGUUAGUGACGGUAAUGGGUAAAGAAGCACCGGCUAACUACGUG